rnacentral:snRNA from 1 species
UCGAUUUGGCAGCACGUAUACUAAAAUUGGAAAGAUACAGAGAAGAUUAGCAUGGCCUCUGGAAAAAAAAAAGAAAGAAAGAAAGUAUAGACCAUCUU